rnacentral:rRNA from 1 species
UACGGGGGGGGCAAGCGUUAUCCGGAAUGAUUGGGCGUAAAGCGUCCGCAGGUGGCGAUGUAAGUCUGCUGUUAAAGAGUGAGGCUCAACCUCAUAAGAGCAGUGGAAACUACAUAGCUAGAGUGCGGUAGGGGCAGAGGGAAUUCCUGGUGUAGCGGUGAAAUGCGUAGAGAUCAGGAAGAACACCGGUGGCGAAAGCGCUCUGCUAGGCCGCAACUGACACUGAGGGACGAAAGCUAGGGGAGCGAAUGGG